rnacentral:rRNA from 1 species
UACGAAGGGGACUAGCGUUGUUCGGAAUUACUGGGCGUAAAGCGCACGUAGGCGGAUUUGUUAGUCAGGGGUGAAAUCCCGGGGCUCAACCUCGGAACUGCCUUUGAUACUGCAAAUCUCGAGUCCGAUAGAGGUGGGUGGAAUUCCUAGUGUAGAGGUGAAAUUCGUAGAUAUUCGGAAGAACACCAGUGGCGAAGGCGACUCACUGGACACGUAUUGACGCUGAGGUGCGAAAGCGUGGGGAGCAAACAGGG